GUUGAAAAGACACUAUAUGGCUGUCAGUUUUUCCGCAUAAUUUUCUUGCCGUGUGCAAAAACUGAAAACAAAAACAAAAGUUUAGUUUAUUUUGAUUCGAUUUUUUCUAUUGAAUUCUCGAUCAGACGGACAGAGAAUUUGAGGAAAACGGUUAUUUUCUCGGGUUCCGGUGCCACAAGCAGCCCAAAGAAAGCCGUUUCCUUUAUCGGGAAAUCGCUGCCCGGAACUGUUGACUGCCUUCCGCAUAAACCAGCGAACACCGUCGCUACCUAACGACGAAACGGUAUGGCAAGAUUUUUUAAUCUGUUGAGGAAGCCGUAGCCGACAUUCCGGACGGUGCCAAGCUUAAAAAUGAAUCAACGAAUGGUUGUGACUAUUCAGAUUCUCAGGGGAAAAAAUAGAUGCAGCAUCAAACAGUGUACUCUAGACCUUUUUAUCGGUUGCGGUAGUCGGGUUCCACGCGCAACAAAGGCAUGCGUGUAGCGGUGCCGGUUCCGCCAAGUGAUUGUAAAUAUUCGGAAGUUUGUUUCAACACUGUGAUGCCGGAAUAUCAAAUCAACGGUAUAACCAGGAACUAAUAACCGGGACAUGACACUAGGAUUUUUUUCGUGUUGCGCUUGAAGUCUCCAUCGGUGUGUAGAGUUCUAGCGCAUAUACGUGUUUACCAGGUGCUUACGGGAAUUUUUCCGAUGACCGGUUCUCAGGUUCUCAGCUCAAUUAGCCAACUCAGGAGAUUGAUUCGAUGAAGAUCUAUAUCGGAAGGGAAUCCCCUAUAUGGCGUGAAAUCUGAUUGCAGAGAUGGAACCAACCAAGUUGACCCAUAUUACCCAAACAGCUAAGCGGCUCCAGGAUAUGAAGGACGAGCGUAGAUCCAACAUAUCCGACCCUUCCAGUGAGCGGAUGAAGAUAAUGCAGCAACUGCAUCGUACAUGUACGAUAGCGGUUUCCGGAUGAUUUACAAGGUUUGGCACGAGUCCCAGAAUAAGAAAUGCAAGACGCUGAAUAUGCCUUUUAUACAGUAGGAUGCGUUUUGAUUUCGCUGCUAACAAUAAUUCUGGCCUUCUGGGCUAUUUUUUGUUGGUCAGCAUUGCCAAUGCCUGUUAAACCAAACCUCGAGGCGAGUGUCCUUUGGUCGGUAUAGGAGCAUCCCUCCUCCGUGAUUUCCGUGUGCUUUCUAAGGAGGUUUCAGUAGCAGAUAAGAACACACAACGGACCAUAAACUAGUAGCUCAUCUCAAGCCCAGACCAAUGGAAUGCGACAGCAAAGCAGCAAACCGGUUCCCAGUGUAUCAGUGACCGCUGUAUCGUUCAGAACUACUACGUGCCUGGAAGGUAUCGCAAAAUUCUUCGAGAUUCGCAUCCCCGGCUGUCGAUUCUAUUCAGGUUUGACUGAUACUGUUUCCGGUCCAUCGUUUGUCAGUGCCUCCCCCAAAAUCCAUCGCCAACUACUUAAUACCGACUGGUGCUGAUACACGUACGACGUUCAAUUUUAAUUUAUUAACCCCCAGAUGAUUGUAUUGUGAGGGUGAAAUAUAUUGCAUAAGCCGUUUUCUUUCGCACCAUAUAAAUAGAAAAUCAUUUCUAUGAAAAAAAUCUUACAUGGGGGGAGGGGGUCGAAAAUCUCAGAAAGAAUGCAAAAUGGUAACUUGGCUUGCAGUUGCCUUGCAGUUAAUAACUGUGGAAGUGCUGAAUGAACACUAAGCAGCGAGGCAGCAAUGUCCCAGUGGGGCCAAUAAGAAGAAGAAGAAAAAGCUCCACAAAAAGACUUAGUCUAAACAUUUAUUGAAAUUUUAGGCAAUGUCAAGAGGAGUCAGUUAUCGAGAUGAAUCUACGAUGACAUGAGUAUGUAUUGUAGACCCAAAGAACAGCCGUUUCCAACGGCUGAAAUCAACAAAAAAAAUAUUUUAUUUAACACUAAACAGUUAUUAAAUCAAAAAUUAUGAUCUGUUCGUAAAAAAACUUUUCUCAAAUUUACAUUACAAACUUUGUACGGGUCGAAUUCACUAUUGA